rnacentral:rRNA from 1 species
CGUAGAUAAUCUACCCUAGUGUUUGGGACAACAUCGGGAAACUGGUGCUAAUACCGGAUACGCUUCUAAUAUUGCAGGAUAAUAGAAGGAAAGAUGGGGACCCUUCGGGGCCUAUUGCACAAGGAUGAGUCUGCGUACCAUUAGCUAGUUGGUGGGGUAAAGGCCUACCAAGGCUUCGAUGGUUAGCGGGUCUGAGAGGAUGAUCCACCACACUGGCACUGGAACACGGGCCAG